rnacentral:rRNA from 1 species
AGUGAACGCUGGCGGCGUGGAUUAGGCAUGCAAGUCGAGCGAACCCGCAAGGGUUAGCGGCAAAAGGGUGAGUAACACGUAAGUAAUUUUCCUUCAAAACGGGGAUAGCAUCGUGAAGACGGUGGUAAUACCCGAUAAUAUAAGUGAUCCGCAUGGAUUGCCUAUUAAAGACGGGGACCGCAAGGCCUGUCGUUUGGAGAUGAGCUUGCGUACCAUCAGCUAGUUGGUAGGGUAACGGCCUACCAAGGCUUAGACGGUUAGCUGGUCUGAGAGGACGACCAGCCACAUUGGGACUGAGACACUGCCCAGACUCCUACGGGAGGCUGCAGUCGAGAAUAUUUAGCAAUGGACGAAAGUCUGACUAUGCGACGCCGCGUGCAGGAUGAAGGUCUUCGGAUUGUAAACUGCUUUUGUUAGGGGAGAAACCUGUACCAUUAAUAGUGGUACAGCUGACGGUACCUGACGAAUAAGCCACGGCAAACUCCGUGCCAGCAGCCGCGGUAAAGU